AUCUAUUAAAAGUCUAUUUUAAGAAUCCAGGUGAUCUGAUCUCGGAAGCUAAGCAGGGUUGGGCCUGGUUAGUACUUGAAUGGGAGACGACCUAGGAAGACUGGGUACUAUAGGUG
rnacentral:rRNA from 1 species